CACGUAGGGCGCAAGCGUUGUCCGGAAUUAUUGGGCGUAAAGAGCUCGUAGGCGGUCUGUUGCGUCCGCUGUGAAAACUCGGGGCUUAACCCCGAGCCUGCAGUGGAUACGGGCAGACUAGAGGUAGGUAGGGGAGAAUGGAAUUCCCGGUGUAGCGGUGAAAUGCGCAGAGAUCGUAAGGAAGACCAGUGGCGAAGGCGGGUCUCUGGACAGUUCCUGACGCUGAGGCACGAAGGCCAGGGGAGCAAACGGG
rnacentral:rRNA from 1 species